rnacentral:ncRNA from 2 species
AAUUAAAUAAGAAUCCGAAUCUAAAGGCCUGUGGCCCUAAGCUAUGGCCUUUGGAUCUGGGUGUUCCGGGAAACUGGUGCACCUCCCAUUGCGGAAAGGAUUGCCAGUGUGUAAUAA